UACGUAGGGUGCGAGCGUUGUCCGGAAUUACUGGGCGUAAAGAGCUCGUAGGUGGUUUGUCGCGUUGUCCGUGAAAACUCACAACUCAAUUGUGGGCGUGCGGGCGAUACGGGCAGACUGGAGUACUGCAGGGGAGACUGGAAUUCCUGGUGGUAGCGGUGGAAUGCGCAGAGUAUCAAGGAGGAACACCGGUGGCGAAGGCGGGGAUCUCCGUGGGGCA
rnacentral:rRNA from 1 species